ACUCCAUUUUCAGACCUUUGCCAAGCGUUUUGACACACAGUAGUAGAUGAGAUCCAUUAAUGUGUAUGACUGCGAUCCUGCGAGUCCUCCGUAGUCCGAAGUUUUAAAUUCACUAUAUGGCUUAACUCUCUACACUAGUAUGCUAGCUUAAUAAUUCUGUCUGUUCUUCAUUUUUAAGAGCCGUUUCAAAGUAAUAACACAGCGGGAAAUUUGUCCUUUGAGAGGAUUAUGGGCUCCCCUUUAACUUUUCAGAUAAUACAGCUGACGUUGUUGCUUAAUACGAAAAUGUAUUUGCGGACGUGCAGAGCUGGGACAAUUUCACCAUACACAGUUCGGAUAUCGCCCAACAAUAGGAGAAAGAAUGACGUGAAAUUACAUUUUAAAAGUGGUCAACCCCCCCUCCCAUCACUGUUUGCAAGAACAAGGUCAACUACAUAGAAUAUUGUCCAGGCCACGCCCCCAUCCCCCAGGUGAAAAACCCACUAAACCAGCUGCUCAUCGAGGGAUCUCGGCAACCAGAUGUGUGAGCAAUCGCUCUCUGAGUGAUGACUAUGGUGGUAGGUCUUUAAAAUCCAGCGGUUCUGAGUCUCUCUUUUUUCCACGUCUAAUUAAACUGGCAACUUCACACGCUUUCUUUUGACGGAAUUAAUUGUUCCGAAGCUAUGUCUUGACUACAUUCAAAUAAAUCAAUUUGUCAGAGUUUUAAAUUAAAGCUGCCAACGUCAGUGUUCGGCUCUACAAUGCUACACAGUUUAGAAUGUGUUAUCUGCUAAUGCAGAAAAUUAAUGUUCUUCAUUUCAGUAAUUACAAUUAUUAUUUUGUUUUAUUUUAGAGGUGUGACAGAAGCAGGAAUUAUCCUAAAUAUGUAAUAGAUAUCUUAACAUUUUAGAGCACAUACAAGCUACCAAUUAUAAAGAUAUUGCUCUAUAGAUCAUUUUGAUUAGGUAACAUUACCUCGCAGCAGUUUUAACACACAGUGAAUGAGAGAAACAUGUAUAGAGUUUUCUUCUCAUAUCAUCCAGUAGUAUAGAGUGUGUCCCAUUCGAGAGAUGUAUGAGCACUCCUGCAAAAAUUUGUAAUUAGUGGCCUUGCCAAUUCUACCUUUUCAAUGUGCAUGCUUACAAAAUACGAGCUACAGAAAAACAUGCUUCCGGAAAUAACAGAGGAAGAUGAAGAUGUAAUAAUAAUAAUAAUAAAUGUAUGUUUAUCUAUUAUUAUUUUGUAUGCUUUUGUUGUUCUUUUUGAGCCAUUUUCUGUGAGUUCUUUUAUUUCACAAGCAUCAGGGAGACGUCAAAGGAAUGGAGGCCAUCUUAGCAAGCGACGGCCAAGCACAAGAGACCCAAAUUCGCCACUCGCCCAAGUCUGUUUCAGUGUCAGAUAUGCUAUUCAUCUGCAUCUUCAAGUAGCAUCUGCUCUCUCUGCACUGCUGAAGACGUUUCCUCGGCAGACAAAUGGCGCUCGUGGGGGGGUAAUCGCGCGGCUCAAGCACGUCCAGAUGACUCAGCCAUGUGGUAGGCCGCAUUCCAGCAUGGCCCCCUCUGACCUCCACCCUUUGACCUCAAAACCCGGGGAGCCACGCUGGCAUAAGCUGGGGGCCAACUAGGCAUUUUCUGGAAAGAGGGACAGUAGAAAUAUCACGGGAGGUAAGUUGGCUAGCUGCUGACACAGAUAGCUGGACCCUCCCUACCGGCCUGGGAGAUGGUUUAACCCAGGACACUGAAACUCCAGGAAAAGCAAACGAUUGCAGAACGUUGGAAGCAGUCUUUAAAUCUCGCAGCAAUGACACAUAGGAGGCUGGCGGAGGAAGAAACGGAUUGAUCUCUGUUUGUCUACUGGGUGACAUUCGUUCAAUCAAAUUUAUGAAGUAAAUGCAAUUAUGAGAGGACCAGAAAACUGCUUUCUCAGUAAAGGCCAAGGAAGUUGUGCAAUUUGAAGUGUAUCUUUUGGCUUUGAUUUUUUUUUAUUGGUGCAUUUAAAGUCUCCGCAUAUGCUGUCAUAAAUAAAAUUAUCUACCUUCCUCCAAGCAGCGGGUGAAGAAUUUACACAAAGGUGAUAUGUUAGUGUUUUCAAUUUUCAAUGUUAUUUCCCCAAUAAAGCAGCAAAUAUAAUUUGUGCAGUCUAAUAUGAAAAGCUGUUUUUUGUGAAUUCCUUUUAUUCCCCCUUAGGUUCAUGAACCAUCACAAUAUAUAUGUAUAAAGUAUAUAUGUACAGGAUUCUGCAGAAGUCUUAGGCAGUCAAAGAAAAUGUUUAAAGCUAUUUAUCUGGGUAGCAAGUGUAUAUUUGAUCAGAAAAAAAUGCAGUUUAACAUUGGAACAUACGCGAAUUAACCAUAACACGAUAAAAACUAACAAGAAUUUCUUCUGUCCUGCAAAAAGUUACAGAUCUCUAUCUGGGCUGACAAUAAGAACAUCGCUUCAGUUC